GGUUGCGAUAAACUUUGCCUCAGGUCAUUUGAUACCAAAACUAGGAAAUUAGAUCCCUUCAUAACUACUACCUUAGAGUUUAAGCCGAGUAGAACAGUUGUGUCUGCUUAUGACAGACUCUAUUUUCUUGAAAAUGCAUCGCCCUUCGAAGCAGAUCCACUUCCAUCCUUUGCGAAAUACAAUCCUGAUAAGAAAAAUUGGGAGCGAAUGCCUGAGUUUCCAUUCAGUUAUCCUUUUCCUAGGAGGGUAACUGGUUAUGCUGUUUGUCAUGGCAUUAUUUUGUAUACAUUGUUUGACGGACGCAAAAGCUCUAAUGUGGUUGCUUUUCACGUGGGUAAAGAGAUUUGGAAUAAAGUGGAAGUUGACACUCAUGAUUAUACUCCUUUCCGAGGGAGGGCCGUGGUUGUAGGCAAGACCAUCUACGCCAUGAAUCUGUUUGAGGUGGAUGAGAUUAUAGCAUUCUCCUUGAAGAUGAACAAACACGACGACGGUAGUAUUGCAUACUCACUAAUCAAGCUGUGUAAAUUGGAUGGCUUGAAGAUUGCAUCUCCGCCAUGUCCAUUUGAGGUGCUUAAGAAUGACUAUUUUGUGCAUUUGGGGAACCAUGACUUCUUUCAUGUUACGACGGGCAAUAAUUUUGAAUUUUACAAGGUUCAACAUCUUUGCAUCACCACGUUUCAAAUAUUUGUUCGAGAAGACGGAAGACAUAUGAUCGAGACCUUACAUUCAACAGUUCUUACAAUGGAUAUCGAGGCUUGUGGUCCGUUGAUGGUCACGUUUGGCUUCACACCGUAAAGAGUGUGAGGAUUAUGAACCCAUAGAAGGGGAGGGUGCAGCUAGCAUGGAGCAUCCAAAACAAGAAGACGAAACCACUAUGGAUGUGAAUUCUUUGAUGUGGGAGAGAAACCAAGGAGGAAAUAGCGCACAUGCAGCAUGAAAAGUCCUGAGGCAGCUUGAAAAAGCCAACCAGAAAAAACCUGACUGCAAACGGAAAAAGAAGAUGAAUAAAAAAAUAAGAAGCGGAUGGAAGGAGGGACAUGUAGUAGAAAACAACAUGUAAUGUAAGUAGUUGAGGAGCAGGGAAUCCGUCUUUGAUAAGAUAUUAUUGAGGUCUUUUACUGCCAUCUAGCCCCUUGGUGUUACAGGGUUAAAAUAUGUUAUUGAUUGUUAUCUUUAUCUGAUAGUUGAUAUGAUACAUUUGAUUUGAUCUCUCC